GAUGAACGCUAGCUACAGGCUUAACACAUGCAAGUCGAGGGACCGGCGCACGGGUGAGUAACACGUAUCCAACCUGCCCUUUACUCGGGGAUCGCCUUUCGCAAGAAAGAUUAAUACCCGAUGUAACGGCUGGGGAUGCGUUCCAUUAGGUUGUUGGUGAGGUAACGGCUCGGCAAGCCUUCGAUGGCGAGGGGUUCUGAGAGGAAGGCCCCCCACAAUGGAACUGAGACCCGGUCCAAAAGCCUACGUGAGGCAGGAGUGAGGAGUAUUGGUCAAUGGGCGUUAGCCUGACCCAGCCAAGUAUCGGGAAGGAGGAAUGCUUAUGGGUCGUAAACUUCUUUUAUAGAAGAAUAUGUAUUAUAUGAAUAAGGAUCGGCUAACUCCGUGCCAGCAGCCGCGGUAAUAC
rnacentral:rRNA from 1 species